ensembl:misc_RNA 7SK 7SK RNA
GGAUGUGAGGGCGAUCUGGCUGCGACAUCUGUCACCCCAUUGAUCGCCAGGGUUGAUUCGGCUGAUCUGGCUGGCUACGCGGGUGUCCCCUUCCUCCCUCACCGCUCCAUGUGCGUCCCUCCCGAAGCUGCGCGCUCGGUCGAAGAGGACGACCAUCCCCGACAGAGGAGGACCGGUCUUGGGUCAAGGGUAUACGAGUAGCUGCGCUCCCCUGCUAGAACCUCCAAACAAGCUCUCAAAAGUGUAGCAGGAGCUGGACACCUGUUCCUCACAUCUGCAGUGCUAGCUACUCAGGAGGCUGAGAUCU